GUAUAUUUAUGUAAUUAUAUCGAUUUAUAUGUACCGUAUAUACUCGAGUAUAAGUUGACCUGAAUAUAAGCCGAGGCCCCUAAUUUUACCACAAAAAAGUGGGAACGCCUAUUGACUCGAGUAUAAGCCUAGGGUGGGAAAUGCAACAGCUACUGGUAAAAUUUGCAUUAAUUGAAUAUUUAUUUACAGUGUGUGUAUAUAAUAAAUGCAGGAAGC